rnacentral:piRNA from 1 species
AAAAAGGACAGUGCAUAUAGAACUCGA